rnacentral:rRNA from 1 species
GACGAACGCUGGCGGCGUGCUUAGCACAUGCAAGUCGAACGGAAAGGCCCUGCUUUUGUGGGGUGCUCGAGUGGCGAACGGGUGAGUAACACGUGAGUAACCUGCCCUUGACUUUGGGAUAACUUCAGGAAACUGGGGCUAAUACCGGAUAGGAGCUCCUGCUGCAUGGUGGGGGUUGGAAAGUUUCGGCGGUUGGGGAUGGACUCGCGGCUUAUCAGCUUGUUGGUGGGGUAGUGGCUUACCAAGGCUUUGACGGGUAGCCGGCCUGAGAGGGUGACCGGCCACAUUGGGACUGAGAUACGGCCCAGACUCCUACGGGAGGCAGCAGUGGGGAAUAUUGCACAAUGGGCGGAAGCCUGAUGCAGCAACGCCGCGUGCGGGAUAACGGCCUUCGGGUUGUAAACCGCUUUCGCCUGUGACGAAGCGUGAGUGACGGUAAUGGGUAAAGAAGCACCGGCUAACUACGUG